CAGGUUAGGUGGAUUGGCGAUUCUAAAUUGGCCCUAGUGUGUGCUUGGUGUGUGGGUGUGUUUGUGUGUGUCCUGCGGUGGGUUGGCACCCUGCCCAGGAUUGGUUCCUGCCUUGUGCCCUGUGUUGGCUGGGAUUGGCUCCAGCAGACCCCCGUGACCCUGUAUUUGGAUUCAGCGGGUUGGAAAA